rnacentral:misc_RNA from 1 species
GCCGCGUCUUCCAUCUCAAGGCGAGGGCAGUAUUUGCUGCUUGUGUGCAUGGACGUAACGGUGGCAACGUGACGCGGUUGCCAGCACACGAGAUUCAGCAUCCCUGCAGAGCUACGCGAGCUACUCCCAUGCACACAGGGGGGCGGCGCACACCGAUCCACAGAAAUACGCCCGCCUCAUUCCUUCGUAACCAGAGUUACGCACAGACGCUUGCCUCUUCUAUCGGCGGCACCAACCCAUCAGCGUUCAAGACGGACCGCGCGACUGCAUUGACUUCAAGCACACCGUCUUCUCUCCGUGUCCCUUGCAGAGCGUCUUUCCAGUGGGCGUGUGCGACCAAAACGGCAAGGAAGGAGGGGUCUGGUGGGACGCAUCAUUCGACAACGGGGCCGGCCGUCGCAGCUGCAGGGGCGCACACAGGGAGAAAAAGGCAGACGGAGCAGAGGAGAGGUGGCUGAGGGCAGAAGCUUACGCUGUGCGCUGAAGGGGCGAUGCACCCGCGGAGACGUCUCCUGCGUCUUCGUGCGUGUGGCGCCGGUGUCGCUCAACAUCACGCGACGAACCCUGCUGUACGAGGGCUUCGAGCACGUUUGUUGGUGUCAUGGUCAGGCUCUACUGGCGGCACCGACUGCUGCCGCCCGCAUGCGUUGACGAGCGCCGUUCGCUUUCUCUCCCUUCGGCUGAGCGAGGGCGAGGACGAGCAACAGCAGUUUACCGUGUCCUUCCACGUGGGUGCUGGUCGCAGCAGUGGUGCGGUGGGCUCCUUUGUGGACGAGGCCCUGCGGGGCGGCACAGCGGCGCCUGCUCCUCAUUUUUUCAAAGAGGAGGACACUGUGACCGCAGACAAUCGCAGGGGCGCGACUGCGAGUGCGAAGUCACAAACUGCAGGUAACGCUGCCAGCGGUGCCAGCGGGUCUGGCAGCGACGGCAAUAGCGAAAGCUGCCGCCUGAAAUUAUCUGACGCAUCUGUGGCAGUCAUGGAGGCAAACGCGGGCGCUGCUGGGACCCGUGAAGCCCCAAGUGCGGGUGCCCCCUGCUUUCCUGUGCCACUGCCUCGCGUACAACUGCCGAUGGAGUUCGCACCGCUGCAGAAGGAGCCGACAUUUCGCGCCUCCCUCUGUGCACAACACGGCACCUGUGGCGGUUUUCACGCUACUCCGGCUGCCGCGGCUGCGCCGUCCACGAGCGCCGGAUCGGAUGCUGUUUCGCCUUCCAUCACGCCCACCACGGCGACCCAUGAGAUUUACUCGGGCCUCUUUCGAGAGAGCUUUGUGAACCCUUUCAACGGCCGUCUCGUGCGCACGACUUCCUCGGCCGCCAAGAUGCUGUUCGGCGUCGGCUUCUAUCGAGGCGUGUCGAACCCGCUGCAGAUCGAGUGGAGUCCUGCAGAGUACAUGGUGGCGCUCCAGAAAAUUAUGUCGACUCAACAGCGGAACGCAGCGCGUCGACGGGAGCGACAGGCACAGCAGGCGCUCCGAGGUGCGAAGGCCGCCGCUGCCGCUAAGCGAGGGUCGUCCGCAUCAGCCACCAAAAAAGCGAGGGCAGACGGCUCGCGUGCAAGGUCAUCUGCGAAGUGCCGUGUCUCUGAGGCAGCCCCCAUGCCAGCAGCCGAGGCGGUGGCACAGGCACGAAGUCAGCUGCUUCGGCCGUUCCUGCGACGCGGGCCCGACCACUGGACGGCGAGCGUGGCAACGCUUCUCGAGCGGCACGACGCCUUCACGUACAUGAACAAGGAGCUGGGGCAGCUCUACGCCCGUCUGCGCGGCGCGUACAUGCCCCCGAAGCUUGACACCCCCGCGGACCCCUGCACCAUGGGCAUGACGCUCACACCGGACCAGCACCACGUGGUGAAGCUGGCGCUGCGCGGCUUCAACUUGUUCAUCGGCGGCAGCGCCGGGACCGGCAAGACGGUGCUGCUCAAGUGCAUCUACCGCGAGCUUUGCCAGAUGGGACUACGGGUUGCCAUGACGGCCACAACAGGCGUGGCGGCCGUUCAGCUCGGCGGAUGCACCUUUCACCACGCAUUCAACGCGCCACUCCUCGACACAGCGCCGCAUCGGUGGGACGCCAACGCGUUGCGAGCCGUCGACGCAGUCAUUAUAGACGAGGUCUCAUUGCUGGACGCAUGCAUGCUGGACGCCUUUGACAUGGAAGCCCGACUGGCUCGCAUGCAUCACAGACCGUUCGGCGGGCUGCAACUCAUCGUUUGCGGCGACUUCCUGCAGCUCUCACGCGAGGACACGCUGCCGGCGUACGAAAGUGCUGCCUUCAAGCACUUGGUCGCGCUGCGCCUCGUCACUCCAAUGCGCCACGCCGCCGAUGACCCGCUUAUGAAGCUGCUGGAGGAUCUGCGGCGUGGCCGGUUCGACGCGGAGCGUUUCGCUGCCCUCGACAGGCCAAUACCACCUAACACCACGCACAUUACGUACCUCUUUCCUCGUCGCCGCGAGGCGCAGCAGCUCAACGAUCUUAAGCUGGGAGAGUUAAUGACACAAGAGAUGAUCUUCACCCCUCAGCGUGGGCCGCUGCAGCUGUGUGGCAGCUUCACGCACUCGGCGUUGGUGGAGCUGAACAGAGACGCCAACGGCAUGCGAGCCGCCAUGCCGAACCGGGAACGCUUGUUGGAGAUGAUUCACGAGGAGGCACAGCGCCUGCGCGCCGGCCUUCAUCGAAAGGACGGCGGUGGGAGAGAGCCUGUGCCGAGUGUAGCAGAUCACGAACUUGUUCUCAUGCCUGUGCGAGCGGAGGGGGCGCUGGAGACGCGCUUCAUUUUGCGAUUGCGGUGCCGUGAGCGGGAGCUGCACAAGCCUAAAACGAGAGAUGGAGGCGAUGACGAUGCGGACAGCGGUGAUGAUGGCGCUUCCACGAGGUCCUCGUCACUCGCUGCGGACGGCGCGCCAGCCCUCAUGGCGGGCCGAACUCACAGUAGUACCCUCGCCGCCGUCGCGGCGGAAACGUUGCGCAAGCCGGUCAUCUCUCUUGCGACGAAGCGAACGCGCCGCGCCACAGCACCUUUCUCUGCCACCGAGUGGGAAGGGAUCGCAACUGCUGUUGCCACGCGACUUGGCGGCCGCAUUGUCACGAUGUUGGAGGAGGAGCCGUCGUCUAUGGUGCCGCUCAGCGUGACCAUGACGCUGGCGGACAUGACAAGCUCCGACGUUGCCCUCUCCCUCACGCCGCUGCGACUAAAGUUGGGAUGCCGGGUCAUGGUGAAUCGCAAUCUUUCACGCACUGUGUCGAACGGCAGCGUCGGCGUUGUCGAGGCCUUUGCCCCGCCGGACGUGAGCCUCUUCCCGCGCCGCACUGACCGCGCGGCUCGCGUCAUCUUCCAGCGUGUGUGCCAGCAGAGGCUGUUUGCACAGCUCCCUGUUGUGCGCCUUCUUGGUGGGGAAGUGGUGCAGAUUCCGCCGAUCUCGAUCGUCCUCGGCGGCACGGCGCAGAGCUACUUCUACGGCCACGAGGUGCUCACCAUACCGCUACAGCUCGGCUACGCCUUCACGGUGCACAAGGUGCAAGGGCUGACGCUGCAGGGCACAGUGGUGCUGGACUGCGAGAAGUUCUUUGACUGCGCGCACCUGAUCUAUGUUGCUUGCUCGAGGGUGCGGAAACUCGAUCAGCUUGUCGUCUAUCGUGUCCAGCCGAACAUGAUCAUCGUGCGCCGCAGCGCACUGGAGUUCUCCGACCAGCUGCAGGACGCGCGCAACUCGAAAGUCUUGAUCUCCCCGCCUCCGGCUGCACGCUCCUCCUGGAGUAGGCAUACAGAACAACGCGUCUUUGCUGUUUCCGCCUAGAGGGGGCCGGAGCGGGUGCGCGUGCGUGAGCGUGUGCUAUUCCCUCUCCCGGUCGCUGCUGCGAGGAGCGUCGCUCCCGUGGCGGCUUUUGAGGCGGUGGUCUGACAGAGAGCCCCGCACAGCUUACGCAUCUGUUGUUGUUUUCCGUUAUGUACCCGUUCUUGCCUGCUGGCUCUCUGUCGUGUGUGCUUGUUCAACGCAACGCCCGCACCGCACAGCGACACGCAGGCACGGCUCAUGGCGCCGCUGCUUCUACAACUGCUACGUCGACUACCAGACACAUACACACAGAAGUAAAAACCAGCCAAGUAAGUGGCACGGCUGCGCGCCCCUCCCCACUCCCCAAAGAGCGGACCAGCAAGAUCGGCACCCAUCUUCAGGACGCAUUCACAGUCGCACGCGAAGCCCACAGCGAGGAAAGAGCGGGAUGGAGAGGCGAUGAACCAGCUGCGUGCAUGCACACGCCUGAGUGCAGCGCGCACAACUCGUGUGUACCCUGGCGGUGCGCGAUAUAACAUCGCUUGUCUCACACCGGACCCCCACACACGCGCAUACGCAGAGAGAAAGAUGAAGGCGUAGGUACGUGCGGCCCCCUCUCUCCGGUGCCGUCUUUGUUUUUGCUACGGUCGAUGCUCGCGCUGGAAGACGACGACUUGGAUGGUGGUGGUGGAGUGGUAGGGAGCUAAACGAAAGACGUGUGCUCGAUCUGCAAGGGCCCCUUGCUCGCUCGUUCUCCUGUGUGUGCACGCCGGUGCCUCCCAUCGCUUCUCCCCUGGCCACCGGCCAGCGCUCGUCUUCUGCUGUUACACACAUGAAAACAUGCUUCUCAAGGAGG